rnacentral:rRNA from 1 species
UAGAGUUUGAUCCUGGCUCAGAUUGAACGCUGGCGGCAGGCCUAACACAUGCAAGUCGAGCGGCAGCGGGAGGAAGCUUGCUUCCUCGCCGGCGAGCGGCGGACGGGUGAGUAAUGUCUGGGGAUCUGCCCGAUGGAGGGGGAUAACCACUGGAAACGGUGGCUAAUACCGCAUAACGUCGCAAGACCAAAGUGGGGGACCUUCGGGCCUCACACCAUCGGAUGAACCCAGAUGGGAUUAGCUAGUAGGUGGGGUAAUGGCUCACCUAGGCGACGAUCCCUAGCUGGUCUGAGAGGAUGACCAGCCACACUGGAACUGAGACACGGUUCCAGACUCCUACGGGAGGCAGCAGUGGGGAAUAUUGCACAAUGGGCGCAAGCCCUGAUGCAGCCAUGCCGGCGUGUGUGAAGAAGGCCUUCGGGUUGUAAAGCCCUUUUCAGCGAGGAGGAAGGUGGUGAGUCUAAUACCCUCAUCAAUUGACGUUACUUGCGGAAGAAGCACCGGCUAACUCUGUGCCAGCAGCUGCGGUAAUACGGAGGGUGCAAGCGUUAAUCGGAAUUACUGGGCGUAAAGCGCACGCAGCGGUUUGUUAAGUCAGAUGUGAAAUCCUCUGAGCUUAACUUGGGAACUGCAUUUGAACUGGCAAGCUAGAGUCUCGUAGAGGGGGGGUAGAAUUUCAGGUGUAGCGGUGAAUGCGUAGAGAUCUGG